rnacentral:pre_miRNA from 1 species
UCUUUAAGUUCUCUCUUUAAGUUCUCUCUUUAAGUUCUCUCUUUCAGUUCUCUUUUUAAGUUCUCAGAGAGAACUUAAAGAGAGAACUUAAAGAGAGAACUUAAA